UCUUCGUCUUCUCCAAAAUGAAACAGCUUUCUUUCUCUGCCUUACGGAAACAAAAUCCAAUACAUUUUCAGAGAACCAUAAUCAACCGUUUCUAUGGAACAACAUCUACUAAACAAGAUAAAAAUCAGAAGCGUGACUGGGUUUUCGCAAGAAUUGCACCUUUAGGUAGCCCAGACGUGUCUAUGGUUCCAGUACUGGAACAAUGGGUUGAAGAAGGAAAAACAGUGGUGAAAUCCGAGCUUCAGUGGAUUAUCAAAAGAUUAAACAGCUACAAAAGAUACAAACAUGCCCUUGAGGUGUCUCAUUGGAUGACGGACAGAAGAUAUUACCCCCUCCAACCUGCUGAUGUUGCAGCACGAAUCAACCUAAUGAAUAAAGUUAAAGGUCUAGAAGAGGUUGAAAAAUACUUCAAUAGCAUUCCACAGAUGCUGAGACGCCCUGAGGUGUAUACUGCUCUUCUCAAUUGCUAUACCAAUGAGAAGUCUGUAGAGAAAGCUGAGGCCAUAAUGCAACAACUAAGAGAUAUGGGGUUUGCUAAGGGUACAUUGUGCUACAACCAUAUGAUGAACCUCUAUUAUAAAACAGGAACAUGGGAGAAAAUGGAUAAUAUGAUGAAUGAAAUGGAGCAGAAGGGCGUAAAUUUUGAUGAGUUCACGCUCACAAUACGAUUAACUGCAUAUGCUGCUGCUGGAGAUUCUGAGGGAAUGGAUAAAAUAUUAGCGAUAAUGGAAUCUGAUAAGCAAAUCAUUUUGCACUGGGAUACUUACAGUAUUGCAGCAGAGUUGUAUUUGAAAGUUGGGCAGGUGGAAAAAGCUCUAGAGUUGCUGAGUAAACUUGAAAGCAUGAUUUUGAAUCAUGAGAAAAGUAAUGGUGCAUAUAAUUGUUUGUUAAAACUGUAUGCGGAAGCUGGAAAGAAAGAAGAGGUGCACCGAGUGUGGGAUUUGUAUAAGCAGAACAUGAGAAUUCUUAAUAAAGGUUACAUUACUGUGAUGAGCGCAUUAAUGAAAUUUGGUGAUACAACAGAAGGAGUUGAGAAGAUCUUUGAGGAAUGGGAAUCCGAAGCUUUGUCCUAUGAUUUCCGUGUUCCAGAUGUUUUGAUUCGCAGUUAUUGUAGAAAUGGUCUUCUGGAGAAGGCUAAGGCCCUAAUGGACAAAGGAAUAUCAAAAGGGGGUGUUCCAUGGGUCACCACAUGGUGUCACUUGGCAAAUGGAUACAUACAUGAAGAUCUAGUCCCAGAGGCUGUAGAAGCAUUGAAGAAGGCCAUCUCAAUAUGCCCGCCUAAUUAUAAACCUAGCAAGGAGACCUUAGCUACAUGUGUAAAAUACUGGGAAAAGCAGGGAAAUGUGGAUAACGCAGCGGAUUUUGUGAGGUGUUUAGAACAGGACCAUAUCUUCUCACCAGUUUUUCGUGACAAGUUGUUGUGCUUUAUUAAGGAAGAAAAACUUCAAACCUAAGCGACACAGCUUGUAUUGAAUCAACUGAUUUGAGCGCCUCUCACAAGGUUAGGCCUUUCCAACUAAAGCUUUAUAUAUGUACUGAAGCUAUCAGGCCUAGGUAUGGAGCAAUUAAAGAGAAAAAUUAUCGGACAAAGAUUAUUUUUCUUUGCAUUUCAGAAUUGAAAAUAGCUGAUAUUUCUCAUUGAAACUUAGGCUGCAUAUUCACUGGCGAUAAGUAAUUUACUGCAAGAUUACUCCUUAGGAGAGACUAGUUGCUUUACUCUUAACAUAUAUUGUGUCAAUGAGCUUUGUUUUGAAGGCCAAAAUUCAAAUUAAUGUGUAUCAUCUCUGUUUUGGUGACGAAGACAAUACAAGAAGAUGAGCCAAAAGCAAAGUUAUUCUUCACGUGGCUUUUAAGAUACAGAAGAAAGAUUAUAUUUUGAAUCAAAGAUGGAAAAUUCAUUCCAACAAGAAGUUAGGAUAUUUUUUGUGGUUGGCAAAACUAUGACAUGCAACUAACCAUUUGAGUGCUUUGAAAACUUAGGUGUAAGAUUAUUAAUCACAUUAUUAAGUGCAAAGUUGAUUAAAAUAUCUUAUAAUGGGUGGGACGUGAACUUAAAUUAUCAAUUAUGUUGGAUGUGACAAUUCUAAUUAAGAAUGUUAAAAAGAUAUUUGAUCAAUGCUAUGAUUUUUUUUUUCUAGAAGGUCACCGCCCUAGGGUCUAAUUUACUUUGUAUUAUAAAAUAUUAGGACCCCAAUUAUUGUGGACUUUUUGCUA